UACGUAGGGAGCGAGCGUUGUCCGGAUUUACUGGGUGUAAAGGGUGCGUAGGCGGCCGAGCAAGUCAGUUGUGAAAACUAUGGGCUUAACCCAUAACGUGCAAUUGAAACUGUCCGGCUUGAGUGAAGUAGAGGUAGGCGGAAUUCCCGGUGUAGCGGUGAAAUGCGUAGAGAUCGGGAGGAACACCAGUGGCGAAGGCGGCCUACUGGGCUUUAACUGACGCUGAGGCACGAAAGCAUGGGUAGCAAACA
rnacentral:rRNA from 1 species